UACGUAGGGUGCAAGCGUUAAUCGGAAUUACUGGGCGUAAAGGGCGCGUAGGCGGCCUGCUAAGUCGGACGUGAAAUCCCUCGGCUCAACCGGGGAACUGCGUCCGAUACUGGUGGGCUCGAAUCCGGGAGAGGGAUGUGGAAUUCCAGGUGUAGCGGUGAAAUGCGUAGAUAUCUGGAGGAACACCGGUGGCGAAGGCGGCAUCCUGGACCGGCAUUGACGCUGAGGCGCGAAAGCCAGGGGAGCAAACGGG
rnacentral:rRNA from 1 species